GUGAUUUCACAGACCCUGAUUUUAAUUAUACUCAUUAAUAUACCGGAACAAACGCUAAAGACAGAUCAGAAACCAGAUGUAGACAGAGGUUUCUUUCAAGUUUUAUUUUAUUUUAUUUUUUGAGUUUCUCGUGUCUUCGUCUAGGAAUGCGAAGAGGGAAAGGAGUUUGGAAAUCAUAGUGGGCCCUACAAAUUCCAAAUUGUGAUGACGUGGAUAGUCUCUUGAUAUGCCACAUCGCAAUAGAAGGCCGAAAGACAGAUAUCCCUCCAAAAUCUCUAUCAAAAAGCAACUUCACACACACCUCAACAGAAAUCUAAAGUUGCUCAGUCUUACCUCUAUAGAAAAAUCAAAAACGCAAUCUUAACUCACAGAUUCAACAGAGAGAUGUGGAAAAUAUUGAAGUUAUAAUCUUAAAGAGAGAGAGAGAGCUCGGUGAAAUGGCGGUUUUAUCUUCGGCCAUGUUCGGAACCUACCGGCCGAUGAAGACGGAACUGAGACCAAUUACACGGUGGACAGUGAAGUGUCAGGUAUCAUCCUUAAAACCCGCUAAGUAUUCCUCAAGACUCUCCACAGACAUUCCUCUCCAAGAGUCUCCUCAGGCGUUGUUCGAUGACUAUUUGGAGGAUACAUCGAGAGUGUUCGAAGCAAUGUUCCCUGAUAAACCCAGAAGUCAUAAAAAGUCGGAGCAAUUAGAUUAUUGGAGUUUUCUUAUUAUUAGUCUCGGAUUUAUCUUUUUAACCGUCGGCAUUCUUUCAGGAGCUAUAUGAGCUAAUGAAACAUGGGGUUCAUAUUGGAAUUGAGAUCCGAAAGAAACCUGGGCAUUUAUUACUUGGACCAUCUUUGCAAUUUAUUUACAUAUUAAAACAAAUAAGAAUGCUCGAGGUAUAAAUCCUGCAAGUGUGGCUUCGCUAGGUUUUCUUUUAAUUUGGAUAUGCUAUUUUGGCGUCAAUCUUUUAGGAAUAGGUUUACAUAAUUAUGGUUCAUUUACGUCGAAUUAACUAAAACAUUAACAAAAAAAAGAAAAGAAUCCAAAUAAAAAAAUUGCAUCUAUAUAUAACUUCAUAUAAGUUAAGAAAUCUAAUUUAGUUUUAGUAGUAAAUCAUCAAGAACCUUUUGAAUCAAGUAGUACAAUGAUUCAAAAGGUUCUCACAAUACAAAAAGCAAAGACUUCUUAUUAUAAUUCAAUUUAAUGUUUUUUUAUUUCUUGAAAACUAUCCAUAAAAAUAAUUAGAUAAAAUAGAUUCGACCUUGUCACUUGCUAAUGAGAGCACAAAAUCAGGAUAAAUCUCAAUACCAAUUAUGGGUAGAAGAAUAGAUAUUGAAAGAAAUAACUCUCGGGGGUCCAGAAUCAAAAAAAAAAAAAGUUUUUAGCAUUAAUUAACUUGUAUCCAUAAAACAUUUGACGUGACAUAGAUAAUAAAUAUAUAGGAGUUAAUAUCAUUUCAAUUGCCAUUACAAAAAUAAUUAAAAUUUUUGAAAUUAAGAAAUAUUUUUGGCUGGUAAUUAUUCCAAAAAAACGAUUAAUUCUGCAACAAAACCACUCGUGCCCGGUAAUGCAAGGGAAACCAUCGAUAAGAUAGUGAACAUUGUAAAUAUCUUUGGAAUGAAGAUAGCCAUUCCACCCAUUUCAUCAAGAUAAACAAGCCGGAUUCUAUCAUAACUAGUUUCUGCCAAGAAAAAAGUGCAGCGCCAAUAAAUCCAUGAGAGAUUAUUUGUAAAAUAGCUCCAUUAAGCCCAUGAUCUGUUAUAGAACCAAUACGUAUAAUUAUAAAACCCAUGUGAGAUACAGAAGAAUUGGCUAUUCUCUUUUUUAAAUUACAUUGACCUGGAGAUGUUGAAGCUGCAUAAAUUAUUUGGAUUGUACCGACUACCAUCAACCAAGGAGAAAACAUAGAAUGAGCUUGAGGUAAUAAUUUCAUAUUGAUUCGAACCAAUCCAUAUGCUCCCAUUUUCAAUAAGAUUCCAGCGAGAAGCAUACAUGUACUGUAAUUUGCCUCGCCGUGGGUGUCAGGUAACCAAAUAUGUAAAGGUAUAAUCGGUGAUUUGCGGCAAAAGCAAUAAAAAAUCCAAUAUAAAAUAGUAUUUCAAGUGUGACCGGAUAGGCUUGAUUCCCUAAUAGUUCUAAAUUUAAUGUUGGUUCGUUUGAACCAUAUAAACUUAUACCUAAAACUCCUAUUAAUAAAAAAUAGAACUUCCUGCAGUGUAUAAAAUAAAUUUUGUAGCUGAAUACAAACGUUUCUUUCCACCCCACAUGGAUAAAAGGAGAUAAACGGAAAUUAAUUCUAAUUCCCACAUGAUGAAAAAAGUAAAAUAUCCCGAGAAGAAAAUGAUCAUAUUUGGCCGCUGUACAUUGCUAACAUCAGGAAAUAGAAUAAUCGGGAAUCCCAAGUAACUGGAAAAGCCGCUAAAGUAGCUAAAGUAGUAAUAAAUUCGGUCAGUAAAAUCAUUCCUAUAGAAAGUCCAUCUAUUCCCAGUCUCCAAUAAAAAAAAUGAUCCAUUUAUAAUAUUCGGACAGUUGAAAUAAUGGAUCGUCCAGUUUAAAAUUAUAACAAAAAGCAUAAGUCGUUAGAAGAAGUUCUAAAAUACAAAUGCAUAUAGUAUACCACUUAUUAACUUUAUUUUCCCUACACGGGAGAAAUAACAUUAAUGAACCGGCAGAUAUUGGAAAAACAACAAAUAUUGCUAACCAAGGAAAAUCAUUCGUGGUAAAGACAAGAUACACCAGGUCCAAAGAACGCGUACUCAAAAAAAUAUAUAAAUAAAAAAAUAUAAUUGAACUUUUUUGAGUACGAGUACUUGUCAAUAAAAAAAAAUGUAUUCCAAAUUUAUUCAAAUUAGGUUUUCGGUAACGUAUCAAUAAGCUAGACCCAUGCUUCGAGUUGUUUCAUGUCAUAAAUAAACUCGAAUUCUCAAAAAAUCCGUUGGAUAGGCAGAUUCACAUCUCUUACAACCAACACAAUCCUCGGUUCUUGGGGGCAGAAGCUAUUUGCUUAGCUUUACAUCCAUCCCAAGGUAUCAUUUCUAAUACGUCUGUAGGACAUGCUCGGACACACUGAGUACAUCCUAUACAUGUAUCAUAAAUUUUUACUGAAUGUGACAUAGGAUCUAUAAUUUUUUUAAUGUCAUAAAUUUUCAAUUUAGUAAACCUAUAACUAAAUGAUAUAUUAAAUUAAAAUACUAGAUGAAGCAAUGAUUUCCUUUAAUAAAAUUUUUUUAAUCAAUUCUGGCUCAAUUGGUAAAAAAUGGGGCUAAAAUACUUUGAUUUCUUAGAUUUUCACAAAUUUAAUAUAGUAACUCAUUUAUCAUAUAUGCAAAUUUAAACCUAUCAUUUUUGAUUUAUGCUACCUAUCUAAUAAGGUCGAUUGGUUGAUGCGAGUUGAUUUUCUGUUACGAUAAAUUGACGAGACUAUAGCUAAUCCAAUAGCUGCUUCAGCGGCUGCAAUUGCUAUAACAAAAAUGGAGAAAAUAUCCCCUUUUAGUUGGGAAUUAUCAAAACAAUCAGCAAAUGUUACGAGAUUCAUAUUAACUGCAUUGAGUAUAAGUUCAAGGCACAUAAGAGCCCUAACCAUAUUUUGACUCGUGAUCAAUCAAUAAAGACCAAUCAAAAAUAAAUAGGCACUCAAAACAAGUACAUGUUCGAGUAUCAUUGAGCAACUCCUUAUCAAUUUUGAUUCAUUAUCAAUAUGAAUAAUAAAAAAAUUCACCGGAUUCAAUCAACUAGAAUAUAACAACAAAGUACGAAUAAAAACUAUAUUAGGGAAAAUUUUCAAAUAUAUAUAAAAUAAAAAAAAAUAGAUUUAAAAAAUGAAAUAUUAUUCAAUCAAAUCAAAUCAAAUUGAAUGAACGGAAAAAAAUAUCAUAACAUACACAAAGUUUUCUUUGGUCUUUAUUAAUCGAAACCUUUUUUAUUGACGAGCCACCAAAAUUGCACCUAUCAAAGCAACUAAAAGAAUUAUUGAAAUAAGUUCAAAUGGAAGAAAAAAAUUUGUUGAUAAAUGAAUUCCUAUUUGAUGACUAUUACUUAUUAAAUCUUGUUCUAAAUUCUGGUUUAAUCUUGUAGUCCAAAUAACCCCGUAGCAGGACGUAUCGAGAAUAGUAGAAAUUAAUGAAAAAAGAAUAGUUGUACAAACCAAUGAAGUAAUCACAUUCCCAACAGUCCACAGAUUGAAAUCUAUGGAAUAUUCAGAAUUAUUCAUGAACAUCACAGCAAAUAUGAUUAAAACAUUUAUGGCUCCCACAUAAAUAAGGAGUUGUGCAGCAACUACAAAAUGGGAAUUUGCUAGAAUAUACAAUAAAGAUAUACAAACAAGAACAAAUCCUAAGGAAAAGACUGAAAAUAUUGGGUUAGGAAGUAAUACCACUCCUAGACCUCCUACUAGAAGCCAGAUCCCA